rnacentral:rRNA from 1 species
UACGGGUGGGGCAAGCGUUGUUCGGAAUUACUGGGCGUAAAGGGCUCGUAGGUGGCCAACUAAGUCAGACGUGAAAUCCCUCGGCUUAACCGGGGAACUGCGUCUGAUACUGGAUGGCUUGAGUUCGGGAGAGGGAUGCGGAAUUCCAGGUGUAGCGGUGAAAUGCGUAGAUAUCUGGAGGAACACCGGUGGCGAAGGCGGCAUCCUGGACCGACACUGACACUGAGGAGCGAAAGCCAGGGGAGCAAACGGG